UUGCUUCGCAUAUUAGAAUUAUGUGAUCUUCCCAUCCUAGAAUCCUUUCUUGACUACUUCAAAAACCUUCCCUUGCUUCACGAAUUGAUUAUUGAUAGUUGUUCCAAGUUGAGGUAUCUUCCAAUGAGCCUAAGCCUCAACUGCACCAAGACUGCUUGAUGUGCUUGUUGAUGAAAAUAGAGGUAAAGGAAUGGCUCUAUGUGGAGCUUACAACAGGAGAGAACUCAAACAUGUCUUUCUUUAAAUUAGUUACUUGAACUCACAAAUGAAAUUAAGGCAAUGUU
rnacentral:lncRNA from 1 species